ensembl:lncRNA
UUAUUAUUAGUCAGCAUACAAAUAUAGAAACAGAAACAAUUGUGAACAUGGCUCCCAAAGCACUCUCUUAUUCAUUUUCCUUCAUUGCAAGGCUUCUGUCAUUCACACCCCACUGUGAUGUCACCAUCUGUAGCCCUAGACCUGCCUGCCACCAGUGUGUGUGUGAGUGAAUGCACCAUCUGUCCUCAAUGGGCCUCCCCUUGAUGCUGUUAUAUACGCUGCUUGUCAGCCAUAUUUUGCUGGUGAAAGUCUGAGCUGAUGUCCACACCGCCACGCCGCUUACUAUUGUUUAAGUGGGAAAAAGUUCACAGAUUUCCUAAUCUACCGGAAUCAUCCACUCUGAAGCAGGUUACAUGAGAACUAGCUGCUGUUUUGCUGCUCACAGUUUAAGGUUUGAAGGUAUUUGCUGGGUUUUAGAAGAGUUGGCCAAGAAGAAUGGAGUUCCCACAUGUAUUUCUAACAAUACAGUGCACAAGGAAAUUGCACUUUCAAAUCCUCUCCCCCAAUUCACUUUACAUUGUUUCUCCACCCUCUCUCCAUCUCUAAAACCCAUGACCUGGAGCAGAGUGCAGAGAUGA